rnacentral:lncRNA from 1 species
UGUCUUUUUUUGCUAUUUCUUGGGCUGCUCCCGUGGCACAUGGAGGUUCCCAGGCUAGGGGUCGAAUCGGAGCUGUAGCUGCCAGCCUACGCCACAGCCACAGCCACGCCAGAUCCCAGCCACGUCUGUGACCUACACCCCAGCUCACAGCAGCACCAGAUCCUUAACCCACUAAGCGAGGCCAGAGAUCGAAACUGCAACCUCAUGGUUUCUAGUCAGAUUCGUUAACCACUGUGCCAUGACGGGAACUCCCUUUUUAUUUUUAAAAAGAGAGCAGACAUCACCAUGAAGGAUUUUAGUCUUUUUCUAGAUAUGCAAGAAGUGGGCUCAUAAAAUCUUCUCCUAAAAAUAUCUACUAUCUCAAGACCUGUUCUUCCAGUUUCCCCAGAGCACAGAGUGGCUCAUUCCCGAUCUCCACCCUGAGCUUUGCUCAGGGGGUGCUGUGGAUCAGCAGCUGCAGUGGCUCAUAAUUUAAUCCAUUUAGAGGCAGAUGGCAACUGCCAAACUCCAGUUCACAAAACAUUCGGACAAAUUGCACGGCCAUGUUUCUACAACUCAAAAUCCCAACCACGAAUGUUAUAUUGAUUGGAAUAUUCCACUGACACAGUUUCCAUCAUCAAGGCCUAGCAAACCAGAAUACCAAACAUACUGUGAAUUUAACUAACACCCUGAGAGGAAGCAAAAAAUCCUUUUCCAAACUCUUUCCCUUUUAGGUUUAUGUUCUAUUACUGCCUAGGAAUAAAACAGAAACAAAACAGAAACAAAAUGUUAAGAAAAUGGUAUACAGGUCUCUACUCAGGAAUAAGGACAAGAGAAGAGCAGCAACAGGGUUUAGCUAUACUUAUAAAUCAUCAAACUGCACCUGUAAUUACAGGAAAAUAAAGAGUGAAAAAAAUAGCUUUAGAAGAAGAGUUGGAGGUGCUGCAUCUGGAAAAAAAAAUGGAGGCAAGGAAAAAGUGAUGAGAAAAGCUUAAGGUAAGCAGAGGGCGGGUGGGAGAGGGGCCCACAUCAAUGAUGGCAACUGUCACUGGUUACCCUCAAAUUCAAUAUGGCAGGUAAGAAAAAUGAGUAGAGUUGACCUUUGAACAAUUUGGGGUUGGGGUGCCAAUCCUUUGUGUGGUUUAAAACAUGUAUAUAACUCAUAGUCAGCCUUCUCUAUAUGGUUACUCCAUAUCCACAGUUUCCCAUCAGAGAAUUCAACCAGCCUAGGAUACAGAACUGAGGUAUUUACUAUUGAAAAAAAUCCAUGUAGAAAAGUGAGCAGGCACAGUUCAAACCUGCAUUGUUCAAGGGUCAAAUGUACACAGCUACCCCUGAAGUUGGCAGGUGAUGAUAAGCUCUAAGAUAGAGGUGAAAGGAGCAGCAAGAAAAUGGGGUGGGGGUAUUCUGGAGGAUUUUACGGGACCCUGUCAAGAGGAAGACUUGUCUGGGCCUCAGAAAACAUGGCAGGAUUUCAGCAGGUAGAGAGGUUAGGGCCAGCCAGGGAGAUUGUUCCUGCUGAAGUUAUGACCCAAAAAUAAGAGAACUGGGUCAGGAGUAGAUGCAUUUGUUUGUUUAUAUGUUCAGUAAAUAUCUGUUUAGCACCUGCCAGGGACAGACAUAGAUGACAGGAGACAGGGGUUAAAAGAAACUUGAAAAGCAGCAGUGAAAUAGCACACACUUUGAACCUUUGGCAAUAGAAAGGCAGUAUUACUGUUGGCUUCCUGAUCCAUGACUAAAGGAGAGAGGUGAUCAGAUUCAUGUUUCAGGAAGUGACCUAAGCAGCCACUUAGAAGAUGUAUUGGGAAGAUAGAUGGAUUAGAAACAUAUUUGGGAAACUCCCAAGAGUGUCCAGCCAGGUGCAUUGGCCGUGGACAAUGGAGGCUCAAUGGUGGCCCAGUGAGCUGGAUGCUGUGUGUGUCUUGCUCACCCUUGAUCCUUGCUAGUCUCCCUUCCCAUGCAGAGGCUGGCAAACCAAAACCUAUUUAACAGGCUCCUUUAAGCUAGGACUCUGAAGGAGAACUUGGUUCUACUAAUUCAAAGCUCUUGGUCGAAAUGUAGAAGGUGGUAUCUUCCUGACCCCUUUUGGCCACUAUCCACUUUGAAAAGUAAGAUUAGACAUGUGAGGCUUCCUUCGGCACCAUUCCAGGGUCUAUCAUCUUUCAGCUGGGGAAAGGCAGUGAGAGGGCAGUAUUAAUACUGGCUUCCUGAUCCGUGAAUAAACAGUUACAGCCAGACCUUCUCAAACUCCAGACUUCCAGUAGAACCUGAGAGGCAGACCCUUGGUGCAUUCUUCCUGUGCCUGUUCCUCUAACCCUCCCUUGAUUUUAUAAUUCCCAGCCUUCAUAGGAAAUCCAUUCCUGAUUACAAUACCAGUAGUGCCCUCUUUCCCAUACUCCAUCUUGAAGGGUAUAGCCAAUACAGAUUUUUCUUUAAAAGGAGGGAGAUGAUCAGAUUUGUGCUUUAGGAAGUGACCUAUCCAGCUACUUAAAAGAUGGUUUGGGAAGAUAGAUGGAUUAGAAAUAUAUUUGGGAAACUCCAAGAGUGUCCAGCCAGAACCAAUGUGCCUGAAAUAUCUGGGCAGAACAAAACAGAGUGGGAAUAGGGAAGGUGUAGAAAGAAGGUAUUUAAUAGAAUUGACAGGAUCUUUUGGAAAUGGGGUGGGAUGGGAGAAGAUUAAACUUGGGCCACUACCUCACCCCAGUUCUGUGGGGACCCUCUGUCUACUCUCAGAGUAGACCCUCAGUCUACUCUGUUCUUUACAUCACACCACCCAUCACAGUCAUUAAUUCUGACCUCGUCCUCGGGCUUCAGACUGUCCUAUUUUUCUCUUUGUUGCAUCCUAAGUACAGAGCACAGGGUAUGACUCUUAAUAGAGUGUUCACUGUAUAUGAGUUGGCAAGAUGGGUGGAUGGAUGGAAGGAAGGAAAGUGGGAGAGAGUGCCCCCAACCUCAGAGGCACUGGGAGCACUGAGAUUCUAUUAACCAAGCAAGUCACCAUAGGCUAGAACUUCUUGAAGAGUGUUGACUCUUGGAUUACAUGGGGCAUCCGGAUGAAGAUGAUUGGUAGUAACAUGAGUCUAGAGGUUAGGAAAUAUGAGUUUGAUACAAAUUUGAGAGUCACUGCACAGAAUGAAAGCUAACGGUUUCAUAGGAAAAGAGGAUGCCUCGGUAAACCCUGGGUAAGGUCCACAUUAUAACUACAAAGGGAAGAGAGUCUAAAAUGCCAGUCAGUGUAGUAGACAUUACACACACCUUGUCCUUUGCAGACCUGUAACAAUUUAUAAGUGAAGUAUAUUAUCCCCACUCUACAGAGGUGGAAACUGAGGCUAAGCAAAGAUGAGCAUUGCCCAAAGGUCACAUAGCUGGUGAUGACAGAGCUGAGAUUCAAACCCAGAUGUGCCUGACUCCAAAAUCUGUGCUCAUUAUGCACCCUAGCCUCCACAACAAAAGGGCAUGACUCAAGAAAGUGACUCCCAACUGGGCAGAGGGGAAAGAGAAGCAGAAAGAUGCUUUGACACGGAAGUCCAAUCAGGAGAUAUAUUUUUUAAAAAGGGGGGGCGGCUAGACUAGAAAAUGCCAGUAUGAAUCCAUGGUGUUUAGUUAUCAGCAGGUAAUUUUGGCUAGGGCAAAGUAGGGAAGAAGGACAGAAGCUAUAUUUUUUGGUCAUAAAAGGAGAAAGAAUAGGUACUUUCUAUCAGCCACAUUCAGAAGGUUUGAAUGGUAACUGGAUGAAUGGAGGGAAGACUAUUAUAAGAGGGAGAAAACAAAGUCAAUCAUGAGUUUAACAUAAACAAGAUGCUUAUGGGCCAAAGAGAACAGUGAAAGGUGGAAACCAGAGAUGCACGAAGUAAAGCAAUGAGUAAGAAAGGUCUUCCAAAGACGGAAAGAGUGGAAGAGCCGGCUGUUGAGAAAAGAGAAAAAGACAGACAAGUGAUAAGAUUGAGUUGUGGUCCCCACCCUGAUAUCUGCAAAGGAAACACCAGGAAUCUGAGGAAGGAGUUCCGGUUUGCCAGUAAGUCUAGCAGAUACUACACAUUUACACUGAUCAGCCUGUACACACACAGGAGUGAUUUCUUUCCUUUGGAUUGGAAUUCAAUCAACCUGUUUUGUAACACUGAUUACCUCAUGCAGACUGGAAACUCAGAGGAAGUGAAAUUUGUCUUUGGUUAGCCAAAGGAGAAUGAUCACUAAUUACCAUUUAUUGAAUGCUGCCUUUUGUCACAGUCUUCCAAAACAUACACCAACAGUAGGGAAUCAUAAAAGAGGUCGUUCAUAGCAAAACAAUGACUAACUCACUAGAAUUAAAAACUCUAUCAGCAGAACUCUGAAAGUUCACAGGACAUAAUCAGAUGUUAAAUAUCUACAAAUGUUGAGACCAGGAAAAAAAUUAGAAUAUCAAACGGUAAUUCGUUAAAUCCAAUUUAGUAGUGAAGCAACCUGGGUGGAUGAGUGUGGACCUAGAUUUGACAAGAGAAGGCAGAACCAGACCCAAAAAAAUGAGGUCUACAAAAUCAUGCCACGCGGACAUGCGGACUUGGAGACCUCACUGGCACAGCUUCUAUGGAGGACAGGUCCAUGUGUCCCUCAUGGUUUUAAGAGAAAAAAAAAAGUCAACCUUGACAUCUGUACCUCCUGACCUCAAGAACUAGCAGAAUGAUUCAUGGUAGAAUUACUUCCUUGGUGGGUAAAUAUCUGUUAAGCCUGGGAGAGCUCAGAAAUGCAUGAAAAUAAGUCAUAAAUCAAAUCUGUCAGGUCUGUUUAUGUUUGAUAUUUAAAGUGUUUAUUUUGUUAAUGAGGAUAGCAUUAGCUAGCUGGCAGACAAGCACUGUGAUUCGAACGUAAAUUAGGUCAUUAAGUAACUGAGAACUGUGAUGUCAAGUUAAAUGAUAUGACAGAGCUUUGUUAUAAUAUUGGAAUGUUUAAGAGAAUUUCAAUUU